rnacentral:rRNA from 1 species
GACGAACGCUGGCGGCGUGCUUAACACAUGCAAGUCGAACGGAAAGGCCCUGCUUCUGUGGGGUGCUCGAGUGGCGAACGGGUGAGUAACACGUGAGUAACCUGCCCUUGACUUUGGGAUAACUUCAGGAAACUGGGGCUAAUACCGGAUAGGAGCUCCUGCUGCAUGGUGGGGGUUGGAAAGUUUCGGCGGUUGGGGAUGGACUCGCGGCUUAUCAGCUUGUUGGUGGGGUAGUGGCUUACCAAGGCUUUGACGGGUAGCCGGCCUGAGAGGGUGACCGGCCACAUUGGGACUGAGAUACGGCCCAGACUCCUACGGGAGGCAGCAGUGGGGAAUAUUGCACAAUGGGCGGAAGCCUGAUGCAGCAACGCCGCGUGCGGGAUGACGGCCUUCGGGUUGUAAACCGCUUUCGCCUGUGACGAAGCGUGAGUGACGGUAAUGGUAAAGAAGCACCGGCUAACUACGUG